AUCUUUUUGUAGUUCCUGAGCGUGAUGAUUGGGUGUUCACAUGCCUGUGUGACAUGUGCCUCCCUCAAGCCUUGUUAUGACAUUGGCACAUUACCCGUCUGAUG
rnacentral:snoRNA from 1 species